rfam:Salmo salar isolate Sally breed double haploid chromosome ssa21, whole genome shotgun sequence.
GCUCAGUUGGUAGAGCAUGGUGUUUGCAACGCCAGCAUGGUGUGUGCAACGCCAGGGUUGUGGGUUCGAUUCCCAU